CCUACGGGCGGCAGCAGUGAGGAAUAUUGGUCAAUGGGCGUAAGCCUGAACCAGCCAAGUCGCGUGAGGGAUGAAGGUUCUAUGGAUCGUAAACCUCUUUUAUAAGGGAAUAAAGUGCGGGACGUGUCCCGUUUUGUAUGUACCUUAUGAAUAAGGAUCGGCUAACUCCGUGCCAGCAGCCGCGGUAAUACGGAGGAUCCGAGCGUUAUCCGGAUUUAUUGGGUUUAAAGGGUGCGUAGGCGGCCUUGUUAGGAAGCGGUGAAAGUCUGUGGCUCAACCACAGAAUUGCCGUUGAAACUGGUAGGCUGGAGUGUGUGAGAGGCAGGCGGAAUGCGUGGUGUAGCGGUGAAAUGCUUAGAGAUCACGCAGAACCCCGAUUGCGAAGGCAGCCUGCCGGGCCAUGACUGACGCUGAGGCACGAAAGCGUGGGGAUCAAACAGGAUUAGAUACCCGUGUAGUC
rnacentral:rRNA from 1 species